rnacentral:sRNA from 1 species
CUGUGACAUUGUCACCCUAUUGAUUGCCUGGGUUGAUUUGGUUGGCUAGGCAGAUGUCC